GAGUGAAGCGGUAAUAGCUCAAAUUUGAAAUCUGGCUCUAGGGUCCGAGUUGUAAUUUGUAGAGGAUGUUUCGGGUGCGCCCGCAGUUUAAGUUCCUUGGAACAGGACGUCAUAGAGGGUGAGAAUCCCGUCUUGAACUGUACGGCAAGUCCAUGUGAAACUCCUUCGACGAGUCGAGUUGUUUGGGAAUGCAGCUCAAAAUGGGAGGUAAAUUUCUUCUAAAGCUAAAUAUUGGCCAGAGACCGAUAGCGCACAAGUAGAGUGAUCGAAAGAUGAAAAGCACUUUGAAAAGAGAGUUAAACAGUAUGUGAAAUUGUUAAAAGGGAAGCGUUUGCAACCAGACUUGUUUCUAACAGUUCUACCGCAGUUCUCUGUGGCUUAUUCUGUUAGUCCAGGCCAGCAUCAGUUUGGGUGGCUCGUUAAAGACUUUGGGAAUGUAUCUACUCCUUCGGGUGUAGACUUAUAGCCCAUUGUGUAAUAGGGUCUACCUGGACUGAGGUACGCGCAUUGCUCGGA
rnacentral:rRNA from 1 species